AUUGAACGCUGGCGGCAUGCCUAACACAUGCAAGUCGAACGGCAGCACGGGGGCAACCCUGGUGGCGAGUGGCGGACGGGUGAGGAAUGCAUAGGAAUCUGCCCAGUUGUGGGGGAUAACGUAGGGAAACUUACGCUAAUACCGCAUACGACCUACGGGUGAAAGAGGGGGACCUUCGGGCCUCUCGCGAUUGGAUGAGCCUAUGCCGGAUUAGCUAGUUGGCGGGGUAAAAGCCCACCAAGGCGACGAUCCGUAGCUGGUCUGAGAGGAUGAUCAGCCACACUGGAACUGAGACACGGUCCAGACUCCUACGGGAGGCAGCAGUGGGGAAUAUUGGACAAUGGGCGCAAGCCUGAUCCAGCAAUGCCGCGUGUGUGAAGAAGGCCUUCGGGUUGUAAAGCACUUUUGUUUGGGAAGAAAUCCGGUUGGUUAAUACCCGAUCGGGAUGACGGUACCAAAAGAAUAAGCACCGGCUAACUUCGUG
rnacentral:rRNA from 2 species